UACGUGCAUGACUUGCUACUUUGAAGCUGUAAACAAAAUUUUAAGGUGACUCUCACGAAAUUUUACUUGUUUUCUGUCACUUUAUGUUGGUAUUUUAACAGUUUUAAUUUAGGUUUGGUAGCAACCAAUGGAUGUUCUACGCCCAACGCUUAUCAACAUAAACGGCAGAAUAUAUCGAAGAAACAUAGUUAAAGAAGAACACUAUGAAGAAGAAGAAGAUUUCUCGUACAUGGGGCCAUCUGAGAGUGAAGCUCUGGAAGAGGAUGAAACCUGUGACAGCCACUUCAUUGAACAAACCGAUAAGGGAUACCGCUGUGCCAUUGAUGUCCCAAGUGUUCUUUACAAAUAUAUCAUUGGGAAAAAAGGAGAAACUCGAAGACGUCUUGAGUUUGACACCAAAGCCUCAAUCAGCAUCCCGAAACAAGGAAUAGAAGGACAAAUCGUUAUCACUGCUGCCCAAAAAGCUGCAGUUUCCUCUGCGGUCACUCGAGUAGAAGUCCUUGUGGAGAGUUUCCGAAAGAAACAGCCCUUCACUCACUUUCUGUCUUUGCCUUUGAAUGACUCCAAAGUUCAAGAAGGAUUCCAGACAUUUAAAGAUGAGGUGUUGCGACAAUGUUCACAGGAUCAUGGAGUGGACGAAAGCAUCUUUCAAAACCCUGCAAAGCUUCAUUUGACAAUUGGCACUCUGGCUCUGUUAAAUGACACAGAAGUGAGAAAAGCAUGUGCACACCUCCAAGAAUGCCAAAGUUUUAUCAGGGACAUCACUGAAGGAAAGGCUCUGCCGUUGGAAGUGACCGGUAUAGAGUACAUGAAUGAUGAUCCAGCCAUGGUGGACGUCUUAUAUGCCAAAGUCAGUGUUAAAGAUGGAUCUGACAGGUUGCAGAUGAUUGCAGACCGGCUGGUGGAGCAUUUUGUCUCUGUGGGGCUGAUGGUCAGGGAGUGGGACAGAGUGAAGCUGCACGGUACUGUCAUGAACACACUGUUCAGAAAGGACACCACAGUUGAGAACAGGGGUGGAGCAGGAAAACCAGCCACAAGUGAAAGAGAGGCUUUUGAUGCCAGGAGCAUAUUAAAGAAAUUUGGUAAUUACGGUUUUGGAGAGUUUGAGCUGAACACUGUCCAGCUGUCACAGAGGUACUCAACAGACUGUACCGGAUACUACUCAUCUGCUGGGAGCAUAAGCUUCUCGUGACCUUUAUCCCAGCUGAGGCGUAAUAUUCUGAGUCACAGUGAUUUGAAAAAUGUCUUUGCUGGACACAGCAGGACAGAAAAUGAUGAUGAGCAAGUCCCAACAGAUCCAAGCAACAAUGAAAACAUGCAGCCAAACCGUUUGCUUCCCUGCAUUGCAUUCCCUUCUGUAAUCAUCUGCUGUUUACCAAGAAUUCUUGAAGACAUCCUCAGAGCUCUUUCAUUGUGUGACAAUAUGAGCGGCUGUGAUAAGCUGCGCAGCUCAUCAGGACUCUUUAGACUCAUAUGUGUUGUUUACAUUUGUAAUACGACGGGAAUAUUUCCAGAUAAGAAAGCCUUCAAAUUGUGCUGCGUACCGCCUUGUCUGAUGUUAAUAAAAAAAAAUAUUUUCCCAGCUUCUGCUGCUUCUGUGAAAACUCAAUUAGGUGGACUGGGUUUAUUAAUGUGCAUGAGUUUGGGGAGAUGAACUGGCAUCAAGUCAAUCUCUUUAUUCUUGGAGUCUGACAAACAUGACUCCUAUCUGCAGAUGUAAACCAUGCAGUGCUUUCAUGACUAAAAUAAAAAGCAGCCGCAGUUCUUGUUUU